GGAUGUUUAGUCUAGUGGUAUGAUUCUCGCUUUGGGUGCGAGAGGUCUUGAGUUUGAUUCUCGAAAUGCCCU
rnacentral:tRNA from 1 species